rnacentral:rRNA from 1 species
CAGCAGCCACGGUAAUGCGAAGGGUGCAAGCGUUAAUCGGAAUUACUGGGCGUAAAGUGUGCGUAGGCGGUGAGUUAAGUCUGCUGUGAAAUCCCCGGGCUCAACCUGGGAAUGGCAGUGGAUACUGGCUCGCUAGAGUGUGUCAGAGGAUGGUGGAAUUCCCGGUGUAGCGGUGAAAUGCGUAGAGAUCGGGAGGAACAUCAGUGGCGAAGGCGGCCAUCUGGGACAACACUGACGCUGAGGCACGAAAGCGUGGGGAGCAAACAGGAUUAGAUACCCCAGUAGUCCCUGUCUCUUAUAC